rnacentral:misc_RNA from 1 species
AUGUCUUCUAGCUCUGCUGACUCAUUCAGCACAUCGCCACGAGGCCGGAGCCGGAGCAAACUGUCGUCAUCGGAGUCCGACGCGGUUCGCGUGGGCGCCCGCCAACGCAACCGUUCGCUCAAAAAGUCGCCCGCAGUACAGGAUGACGAUCCCACAACACAUCAUAAUCACCACCAGUUUCCGCACAAUUUGCUGUCACAGCACAAUCAGGUAACUUCAACACAUCAUCACUCUAUGCAACACCUACACAAUGCCUCAUCACUCCAACAACAUUUGGCAUUGCCAAGCGGCUCAAUGGCUCCCGAGCCACGGAGAGCUGCGAGUUUCGAUGUGUCGGCUAGCCAGAAACUGAGUCCCGCCCAUUCCGUCCGGGUUCAUUCGACGCCGGCCGAUCGGCAUUCUCCCCCGUCGAAGUGCCACGUCUACUGGUUCAAUCCCCGUUGUCACCUCUCCAGCUGGAACCACCGCCCGUCGCCAUGGACAAUCGAUUGCUCACCGUGCCGUCGCCGUCGGAUUUCCGCAAAAGUCCCGUCGAUAAUCGGUCCUUUUCGUGCGAAUCCCCCAAAAGCAGUGGAAACGCAGCGACUUCUGUGGACAUUCUGAGCCAGCUCAAUUUCAAUCCAGCUCUGCUCACACAGCUCUCUGCAGCAAUUGCAAGGCCAAUGGGAAUUGCAUCCCCAUUACUGGACGAUUUGAAGGUCAAUUUUGGAUCCGUGCCAAAAAUUGAGCAAAUGGAUUGCUCCGGAGGCUCAUUCGACACAGUUGGCUCGGGGAGCUUCGACAUGACAAGUGCUCAUUCUUCGUUUGAUCAUAGCACCAACCCUAUCAGCCAAGAAUUGCUGGCUCAAAUGCCACCAAAAGCCGUAAUUCAGGACGAUAUUCGGAAUGGAAACGGCAGGUUUCAGUUGGUCAGGAAACGGGGAAGAUCCGAAGUUUGGAACCUUUUUGGACAGGUUCUCGACAGUCUGACCCAAGUGCGUCUUCCAUUUGUCGCCUGUUACGCAUGUAAAGUACUUUACACGGAUACUGGCGGUGGUACCGGUAACAUGACACGUCAUCGAUGCCCAAUUGGAGCAAGUUAUCGCUCGAGCACCCACGCAUCUUCCACUGAAACCGUAGAGGCUGGCGGCACAAAUUCAUUCGAUUCGGCAAUUUCGGCAAGGAUUAUGAGUAGCGCUGACGUCACGAGGUCCCAGUUAUCGAUUAGCAUGGUAGAGUCGGGAUCUGGCUCUGGGCCAAGUGGGUCUGGAUCGGGAAAUUCUUCGCUGCCACUGUUAACUCAACAUUCUGGAGAGGAAUUCCAGAACACAAUUGGUGACGUGGAUCGUGAGGUACUUACCGAUGCAAUUGUCAAAUGUUGUGCCCUAGAUUUGAUCGAUCCUAUGGUAUUUUCUGGAAAAGGCUUCCGAAGUUUGCUGAAACAAAUCUGCCACGUGUCAAAACGAGGCGGAGUCAGCCCGCCCAUCGACGCGUUUCCGGAUAUUCAAACAGUGCGCAGUGCCAUGCAAACUCACCUGAGAUUCUGCGCGGACGAUUUGAAAAAUGAGCUUUCCCGGACCACCCAGGGAUGCCGACUGGCGCUGGAAACUUUGACGUAUUCUGGAAGAGAUUAUAGAGUUAUUCAUGGAUCACGAAUUAGUCCGGAUUGGAAAUGGCGCAGCAAUAUUCUAGGAGUAUUUAAAGCAAAGGAAAACGAGUCACUGAACGAGAUGAUCAACCUUGUGGUGCACAAUUAUGAGCUGAAUAGGACAUUUUUGAGAAUUACGAUACCGAAUUCGAAUAAUGAUUUGGAGGGAAAUGUCAAGUGUUUCUUUGAUAUCAAGGCGAAAUUGAAGGAGAUUCUCUUCACAACAUUCUCUGCCUGCUCCCAACCUGUAAUGGAUAUGCUCAAUGCAGUUGACCAGCUCACCAAGGCUCUUGUGGAGAUGGAUGUACGUCUCCCAUUUGCCACGGAGCCACGUGAGGACAUUUUCGAUGUGCACAAUCUUCUAGCAGAAUGGAAUGACCAAUGGGGUCAACUGGAGCAGAUUAUUUCGACGAAAUGUGCGGAUACUUUAUUGGAAAACUUUAAGAAGUUGGAUCCAACUCACAUGCGAGAUCUGGAAGUUUUCAUUCUACCAUUCCGAGAAACCAUCGAAUCUUUGACAUCAGAGCAUCCAAAUUUCCAUAAAAUCCUUCCGGAAUGGCUUGCUCUUCAACAUGAAUGUCAAGUGCAGAAUGAUGAGCCAACUGCUUUGCUCCGAGAGCUCAAACAGAUUGCCACAAAAGUUUUGGAGUCUGAGAAGGAGAAGAUCAUGACAGAUGAGCAUAGAAUUGCGGCGAUCCUUAACCCACGGUUAAUUAGAAAAUUGAAUAUGAUUUUAACGGAUCAAGAAAGAACGACAGUCUGUGAAAGGAUCCGAUCGAGUUGUGGAUUCAGGAACCCCAAAGAGCCCCUGAGCAGAGGAAGUUCAUGUGAUGGAGAGCCACAUCGGAAGAGAAGAAUGUUCUUGUCAUCGUUGGAAGAUGAUCAGGUCACUGAUGAGUUGGAGUGCUAUUUGAGGUCACAAUACCCUCCGAAUCAGACAAAAGACGUCAUCACUUUCUGGAGCACAACUGGCCACGCCCAGUUCCCAACUUUAAGCUCACUGGCUCGCCGAACCCUCUGUACCCCAGCAAUUGCUCCAAAAACUCAAUUCGAUGCUCGGUGUGCAUCAGUGAGCCCCGAUCAGCUUCACACAUUCCUCAUGCUUAGAUCAAUGUUCGAUUCGGAAAAAGACGAGGAAGCUGUGUAG